rnacentral:rRNA from 1 species
CAGCCGCCGCGGGAAUACGUAGGGUGCAAGCGUUAUCCGGAAUUAUUGGGCGUAAAGAGCUCGUAGGCGGUUUGUCGCGUCUGCUGUGAAAACUGGAGGCUCAACCUCCAGCCUGCAGUGGGUACGGGCAGACUAGAGUGCGGUAGGGGAGAUUGGAAUUCCUGGUGUAGCGGUGGAAUGCGCAGAUAUCAGGAGGAACACCGAUGGCGAAGGCAGAUCUCUGGGCCGUAACUGACGCUGAGGAGCGAAAGCGUGGGGAGCGAACAGGAUUAGAUACCCCUGUAGUCCCUGUCUCUUAUAA